GACGAACGCUGGCGGCGUGCCUAAUACAUGCAAGUAGAACGCUGAAGGAGGAGCUUGCUUCUCCGGAUGAGCUGCGAACGGGUGAGUAACGCGUAGGUAACCUGCCUGGUAGCGGGGGAUAACUAUUGGAAACGAUAGCUAAUACCGCAUAACAGUAGAUGUUGCAUGACAUUUGCUUAAAAGGUGCACUUGCAUCACUACCAGAUGGACCUGCGUUGUAUUAGCUAGUUGGUGAGGUAACGGCUCACCAAGGCGACGAUACAUAGCCGACCUGAGAGGGUGAUCGGCCACACUGGGACUGAGACACGGCCCAGACUCCUACGGGAGGCAGCAGUAGGGAAUCUUCGGCAAUGGACGGAAGUCUGACCGAGCAACGCCGCGUGAGUGAAGAAGGUUUUCGGAUCGUAAAGCUCUGUUGUAAGAGAAGAACGAGUGUGAGAGUGGAAAGUUCACGCUGUGACGGUAUCUUACCAGAAAGGGACGGCUAACUACGUG
rnacentral:rRNA from 1 species